AGAAUCUGGGCUUCUUCACCCAUUUAGGCUGUCACUACUUUUUUUUUCACUUUUUUUUAUCCCUGUUUAAGUCAGUCUGACCCACAGUUGUCCUCUGCUGACUUCAGAAAUAAUAAUCUGGCCAGUAGACAUUCGGUUUCGGUCCUUUAGGCCCUUCGCCUCAGGCAUUGUUCUCUAUGGUGGACAAAGUUCAGAAUGGAAGAUGGGAGAAAGGUCUGCUACAAUGCUGCUGCUGCACAGAGCUGUGGUCCUCAGGCUCAAACAGGCCUGCAGGUAGGCCAGCCCAUCCCAGGACGCCUCCUAGCCCCUAUCUGCCACCCUUAGUGUCUUUUACAAUGUCAUACCUUGCAAAUAAGACCGUUGAGAGAGUGUGUCCAGGGAGGACAGAGAAAGCAAGACCCACUCUUCCCAUCUAUCCCUGGAGAAACUAAGUUCCAACUUAAGGAACCAAUGGCCAACCAGGGAGAAAGAAGUAGACCCCAAGCCUUCACUGGCCCUUUCACAUGACCAUACAUGCUACUAAGACCUCUCUCUCUUCCAGACUCAAGUCAAUCCCCUCAAGGAUCUGCAUUCAGGCCUGCUCCAUAAAUGAUUCAUUUCAGCCCCAGCGCCCCAGCCUCACCUUCUCUGGUGAUAACUCCAGCACCCAGGGAUGGAGAGUCAUGGGGACCCUAUUAGGUCUCGGUGCAGUGUUGGCCUAUCAGGACCAUCGGUGUAGGGCUGCUCAGGAGUCAACACACAUAUACACUAAGGAGGAAGUGAGUUCCCACACCAGCCCUGAGACUGGGAUCUGGGUGACUCUGGGCUCUGAGGUCUUUGAUGUCACAGAAUUUGUG
rnacentral:sRNA from 1 species